rnacentral:rRNA from 1 species
UACGGAGGGUGCAAGCGUUGUUCGGAAUUACUGGGCGUAAAGCGCGUGUAGGCAGCCGAUUAAGUCUGGUGUGAAAGCCCGGGGCUCACCCCCGGAAGUGCGCCUGGAAACUGGUCGGCUAGAGUAUGGGAGAGGAAAGUGGAAUUCCCGGUGUAGCGGUGAAAUGCGUAGAUAAUCGGGAGGAACACCAGCGGCGAAGGCGGCUUUCUGGACCAAUACUGACGCUGAGACGCGAAAGCGUGGGGAGCAAACAG